CAGAGUGCAGCAGGGGCCUGUGCUUAGGCGGCCCGGUGGCGGGCUUCGGUGCUCUGGAGCGACACACCUCCCCUGGAGAGGGACAGGCUCUCUGCCUGCCGGCGGUUGUCCGGAACGGCUUUCACCUGCGGACCAGAGAGGGAAGGCGUGUUUGUUUUGAAGGAGGAAGUUAUGAAGUGCGUCGAAUUGGCUAACUGAACAAUGGCGGCUAUGUCGUGGGUAAACACAACAAGUAUGUCUGAGAUAAAUAAAGGUGCCCGUGUUCCGCAUGUCGCCAGGUGAUUUUUUGUUAUGACAUUGAAGUUCUUGCAUAGCCGGUUCUUUGUGCAGAGGGCUGGUUGCUAGCAGAGGGGAGCCAUAGCGUACCUGAGAGUCGUGGAGCUGGUUGUGGAACCUCGAGAUCAAGUCGUUCAACUCGUCAUUCAGCUCUGAGGUUAUCCCAGAACGCCCGAGGAGUGGCGUCUCCCUCUCACCGGUGUCGUCCAUGACGGCGAUGGCCUGCUCUGCGGUGUGCUGCAUGGCCAGCAGGGCGGCCUGUCUGCCCUGUAGCGCGCGCAGCUGCUCCUGCUGCUCCAACAUCUUCUUCAGGAGCUCAUGCUGCUUGCGCAGGUUCUCCAGCUCUUCCUUCUGGUCCCCCUGUGCCGGUACCGGCCCGCUGCCGCUCUGCAGGAGUAGCGGAGCCACGGAUCAAUGAGGCUGCACUGCUUUCACACCCAACCAAAAAGGCAUGUGGCUCGCUGUGUCCGUUUCUAUACUCGGGUCUGUUUCAUGGUAUGUGUGCAUGUCAUUUGUCUUGUGCCGUUUGUUGCCAUCAAUAAAUGUAGGACAUUUCUGCACCUACUAAAUGUUUGAAGAACCAUUAGCACACUGACGGAAAUUAUUGGCAGAGCUGUCACUUUUCGUUCCUGAUCAAACGCUGUAAAAGUUAGGCAGCCUGGAGGGUGUGACGUGGGAACAAGCUUCCCCAUGUUGUCAUGGAUACAAUCUAUGUGACCUCUUAAACCACUGUUGCUUGUUAAGCUAAUGCACAGCCGAUUGGAAAUGACUGAAACGACUGUGUGGGUUCACUUACAGAGGUGGAUUGAAAGUGGAUCACUUGUUCCCCAUGAGUACCAGAUCAAUAUUGUAAAUAAGAAACUGUUCUUAAUGUUUCAGCUGGAAAAAUAAAG
ensembl:lncRNA